rnacentral:rRNA from 1 species
CGCGUAGGCGGGAUGGCAAGUCGGUCGUGAAAUCCUUCGGCUCAACCGAAGAACGUCGGCCGAUACUGCCGUUCUUGAGGGAUGCAGAGGAGACUGGAAUUCCCGGUGUAGCGGUGAAAUGUGUAGAGAUCGGGAGGAACACCGGUGGCGAAGGCGGGUCUCUGGGCAUCUCCUGACGCUGGGGCGCGAAAGCGUGGGGAGCAAACGGGAUUAGAUACCCCGGUAGUCCACGCCAUAAACGAUGACGACUAGGUGUGGGGUGGUUCAGUCCACUCCGUGCCGCAGCUAACGCAUUAAGUCGUCCGCCUGGGGAGUACGGCCGCAAGGUUGAA